GCUACUUUAGUAUAAGUUUUAGUACGAGAGAUUUUCAAUCUCGAAGUGAAAGUGGUA
rnacentral:tRNA from 1 species